rnacentral:rRNA from 1 species
CGUCGCCGAUCAACCGCAGACGUCGCGACCUGUUCGCGGUCGGUCCCUGCUCGGAGGAGCCGCGUUCGAGUUCGUUGUGUGCGCGUUUCGGCGUGUCACACGGCGAAGGCGCGGAUCUCUGGCUGGCCGUCGGACAGUAUGCUUACGGUGUCCGGUGUCGUCGUCUCGUACGCGCGUGCAUCGGUACCGGUCAGCGACGAAUUCUUCGGGCCUCUUUCCGACCCGUCUUGAAACACGGACCAAGGAGUCUAACAUGCGCGCGAGUCGCGGGGUGUCGAGCGUACUUCGGUGCGUUCGUUACGUUGCGAAACCCGUACAUGUCGAAGGCGUAAUGAAAGUGAAUGGGGAAGAUGGUGUUCCGAGUUCACGUUCCGCGAUCAUCGGUAUCGCGGCCGGACACCCGCAUUCCCGGGGCGUCUCAACGGCCCGUCGCUGAUGCGGACUGUCGUCUCUCGGGGCGGCCGUCGGUCGGCGAUGAACCGAGGCGCACCUAUAGCGUGCACGUUGGUACCCGAAAGAUGGUGAACUAUGCCUGGCCAGGAUGAA